GCAGCUGGGCACCAGGUGAGAUUCAUCUCCCUACACCUUAAUUUAGAGGUGAAAUUCAGCUGCAGACAUCUCAGAGGCCAAUGUCAGCUUUAAAAACCUAGGGAGUCCUUGAUCUUUGGCUGCUGUUCCAGGAGGAUGUGAUCCUCAGGGGGUGCUGAGCUUCUUCCACUGGCUCUGUGUGGACAUCUCGGACACUUGGAAGUUGGGUCUGGGUCACUGAGACUUGCCUUAAAGAUCUCAUCUGUGCCCUCAAAGCAAUGGAGAGCUUCCAGCUGAACUUGUAGGUGUCCUCUUUGGCACGGGCUGAAGAUCUUCAUAGUCUGAAAUAUCCCUGGAGGUACAACGAGGAGGAAUUUGCUCUUCUCUGCUGCACUGCCUAGGGAUGUGCUUGCUCCUAAGGCAGCAGAAAUUGAGCACGGAACCUGGAGAUCCCUCCCUGGUGUUAUGUGGCACAUGGAGAGCCACCACGAGGCUCGUAGGCUUCCAGAGCAAGGUGGAGCAACGCUGGCACGGAGAGGUGCACCGGGCUCGGGGAGGCUGCUGGGGUUACCAGCGUGCUUGUGAACACGGGGCUGAAGGUCAGCCUUGGUCAGAGAGCUGCUCCCAGCUCUUUAUGCAUUGUCUACAAAGCAAAUGCCUUGUUCAAACACGCUCCUCCAUGGGCAAACAGGAAAAGAAAGGCAACAACAUCAUGCUGCGUGGGUCUGGGAGCGGAGAGCUGCGACGGCUGCGCGGAGCUGGGCUGGGAGGGCAGGCGGAAAACAAGGGCAGACCUGCAGUGGUGGCAAUAGCUACGUGAUCUUUUAUCUCUGUGUGCCAUCCCUCCUUCCUCGUACAGCUGCAAAACCCCUUGUUUCUACACCAAGAGCCUGAGGAGCGUCCUCUCCUGCAGGACUCUGUGAAGCAGGGGCGCGCUGGAGCCAGCUCCGAUUGCCAGGUGGAUGAGCUGAGAGAGGGGAGGGUGGUGGCAAAAACCCAUUUCUGAAGCCCUGGUGGGGCUGUGAGCAGAGCCUGACACUUCUUCAGCCACGUGAGCCUUUUUGUGGGUCUGGGAUACAGCGAGCUGUAAGCAAUGCCCUGGCUGAGGACGGCUGAGCAUGGCUUAACGAUGUCAGCCAGAUAAUUAGGCAGAAAAGGCAGAAUGGUGAGCCAGGAAGGACAGAGGUGAUAAGGUUCCCCUGGAGCAGGGACUGGUCCUGGGGGCACCCAGAUGUACCCAGGCAGUAUGAAAGGGGUCACCCUUCCCAGGCUUGUGCUUCGUGCGGGGCUUUGGACCACCCUGAGUGACAAGGGACAAAAAAAAUUGAGAUGAGCACUCCCCAAACUGAUGAAAACCAAACAAUUCUCUCACUGCUCUUGGGAAGUUGAUGUCUGUGCUAUGAGGACCCUGAAUCCUGCUUUCUCAUCUAAAUGUGGGGUUCUUUCACCCAUCUGUAGAUCCCUGGUGUCUUUCUAGAGCUGAAGGACAUGAGCAGACUGGGUCUCCUCCCGGUGACUUCUUGCUGGGGCACGGGUACUGCAGUCCCCUCUCACCCCUUCACCCCUUGCCUUCUUCUUUAAGAAGCCACCUGGCUCUGCAAAUAAAAAACACGAGGGGAUUGAGGACAGACACCACGGAGUGCUGGGGGACAGAGAGAAGGGAGCUGUGUCCCCAUGUCUGCCUUCUCAGGGCAGUCCCUUGAUCAUCGGUCUCUCCACCAGGUCGCAGUGCUGAAAUGGAUUUCCAAUGAACAGAUAGACACUGGGCAAAAAUUAUAGAGGUGGGAGAUACCUGAUGGAAGAGGCGAUAUCUUUGUAGGCACCGCAGUCUGGCUCUGGACCUCCAUCCUCAAGGAUGUCUUGAGACCUUAAACCCAGAGACAUUGAGGAUCAGGAAGCAUCAAGCCAUGGAAAAUGUCUUAAAGUUCAACCUUUUGAACAAAAGGUAGUGCAAAAAGGUGACCGUCAGGACUUGGCUCCCAGGAGCAUCCUUCAUGGGAGAUGGCAGCAGGACUGUCUGGUGACAGUCGGGUGACAUCCCCGAGCCCAGCAGCAGUUAGCUCAUCCCCUCAGCACCCCAGAAAGGUUUUCAGAGGAUCCUGAAGGACCUGAGUGUGUCCGUAAGAGGAAAGUUUGGGCAGAGCAGGGUGCGUGUGAAGUGCCUCUCCCAAAAUGAUGCCCCUCUUCCAAAGAGGGCCUCUGAAAGGCUGCCCGUGGGUGGUUACCUGGAGGCUGGCGAUGGGGCUGAGAUCUCAAACCAGAAGUCCACGAGCACAUCACCUUCUGCCUGUCUCAUGGGGAUCACCUCCUCUUUCACCUGGCCCCGACGGCGUUUCCUUCACCCUCCCCUCCCUGCCCGCUGCUCCCCGGGACCUCAACCUCUGCGAGGGGGCAGAGGUGGGGAAAGUCCCCCCGUGGCCAAAGUCCCCUCGGUUUUUUCAGGGCACAGACCAUGGUGUGAAAGCUUCCCCCACGGCCCCGAGGGGCUCUCCAGCCCGCCCGCGGCUGGGCGAGCACACGGGGAAGCCGGGGAGAGGAACAGUAGCUUUUUCUCUUCCCGGCGACGCCGACGUGGUGAUCAGAGGAGCUGGCCAGAGUCCUAAUGAAGAUAAAUGAAUAUCCCCUCUCCUCCGCUCCUCCGGCUUUUAUUGAUGGGCUGCGGGGUGAAAGGCGAGAGCCUGAAUGUUCAUUUAAGCAGACGUCACGAGUUUCUUUGGAGGGGAAGGUGUAAGAAAAACCGCCUUGUGCUUGAAAGUUACUCCAAGAUGAGCACGCUCGGCUUUACAAGCCUUUCUCCAUUCCUUCCCCAUCCAUCACUUCCCGGGAGCCCUUUGUAAAUGCAAAUUGCACUUUGAUAGAAAUAAUGCACUGAGCCUCUAUUAGUGUCUGUGUAAUGGAGAGGGCUAUUUUAAUGCAAUCAUUCUUCGGGGAAGCUCCUCUGUGCCUUAUUUUAGGCUGUGUAUCAAAAACCAAUCUGAAAACCCGCUCCUCCCCUGCUCCCUCCCGGCUCUGCCCUUCGCAGGCGCUGGGAGACUUUUCAUUUGGGGCUGGGGAUUCGUGGGGCAGCCGGGGCGUUGUGCCAUGUGGAUGAGAGCUCGGGUGGACAGCCCAGCCCCAGGACACGGCUGGGACACCGGGACCCCAGGCUGGUGGCAGGGAUGGUGGCGAUGGGACAACCUGCAUCCCGCACCCCGUGUGGGAUGGGGAGAACCAGCUCAAAUUUUAGGGGUAGGAUCCGUCUCAUCCCCCAGGAGCUGCCUUAUCCCCAGCACUCGUGGUGGGAUGAGGAUGAUUUGGGUGAUUUGCAGAGCAGCCCCUGCCACCCCGAUGCGUUUCUGUGCUCCGCAAACCGAUUUUCUCACGUCCCAGGCUGAUCUCUCCCUCCCAGGAUGUGGAGCAGCAGCUCCAGCACUGAAAUCAGUUUAAGCUGCUUAAAAAAAAAAUAAUAAAAAAAUAAAAGAAAAGAACGUUUUUAAAGCAUUGAGAUCCCCCUCCACGCACACACACUUUGGGAGGUCAGAACAAAACUGCUUUGAACUGUUUAAAAACAAAUCUGAGUCUUCAUUCAUCUUCAUUAAUGAGAUAUUUAACCAGUUCCUUUUAAUAACUUCUUGGUGCAUAUGCCAAAUGAAAGAAAAAAAAAAAAAAGAAAAGAAAAAGAAAAGAAAAAGAAAAAACACAACAAAACAACAGCACACAACAAACAUACUUGGGAGUCAUUUUCUGCUUUAAAGGCCAUUAUUUCGGGUGCAUUUUCUCCUUAUGCUCCUAAAUGUUGGUUUUUCCCCCCCCUUGCAGUGGUGUAGGGUCCUUCUCACA